UCUGGUUGAUCCUGCCAGUAGUCAUAUGCUUGUCUCAAAGAUUAAGCCAUGCAUGUCUAAGUAUAAAUAGUAUACAGUGAAACUGCGAAUGGCUCAUUAAAACAGUUAUAGGUUAUUUGAUAAUUGACAAUUACAUGGAUAACCGUGGUAAUUCUAGAGCUAAUACAUGCUUAAACGCCCGACUUUAUGGAAGGGUGGUAUUUAUUAGACUGAAGCCAAUAUUCCUUGUGUCUAUUGCGGUGAUUCAUAAUAACUGAUCGAAUCUCUUUUUGAGAUAAAUCAUUCAAGUUUCUGCCCUAUCAGCUUUCGAUGGUAGUGUAUUGGACUACCAUGGCAGUAACGGGUAACGAAGAACUAGGGUUCGAUUUCGGAGAGGGAGCAUGAGAAACGGCUACCACAUCUAAGGAAGGCAGCAGGCGCGUAAAUUACCCAAUCCUGACUCAGGGAGGUAGUGACAAGAAAUAGCAAACCGGGAACCUCAUGGUUUCACGGUAUUGCAAUGAGAACAAUUUAAAACCCUUAGCGAGAAUCAAGUGGAGGACAAGUCUGGUGCCAGCACCCGCGGUAAUUCCAGCUCCACUAGCGUAUAUUAAAGUUGUUGCAGUUAAAAAGCUCGUAGUUGAACCUCUGUCUGGGGCUAGUUUUGGCUUUGGUCAGGCUAGUUCUAGGCAUCCGCCUACAAGACUUAGAGGGCAUUCAGUUGUUCACUAGGAGGAGUAGGCAUUUUACUUUGAAAAAAUUAGAGUGUUUAAGGCAGGCAAUCGCCCGCAUAUAUUAGCAUGGAAUAAUAGAAUAGGACACUUUUCCAUUUCGUUGGUUAUUGGAAUCGUGUAAUGAUUAAUAGGGACAGUUGUGGGCAUUUGUAUUUAAUUGUCAGAGGUGAAAUUCUUGGAUUUAUUAAAGACAAACUAACGCGAAAGCAUUUGCCAAGGAUGUUUUCAUUAAUCAAGAACGAAAGUUAGGGGAUCAAAGACGAUCAGAUACCGUCCUAGUCUUAACUAUAAACUAUUCCGACUCAAUGUUUGACUGGCUUAUAUAACCAGUUGAGCGUUGUAUGAGAAAUCAAAGUCUUUAGGUUCUGGGGGGAGUAUGGUAGCAAAGCUGAAACUUAAAGGAAUUGACGGAAGAGCACAACCAGGAGUGGAUUCUGCGGCUUAAUUUGACUCAACACGGGGAAACUUACCAGGUUAAAACAAUAGUGGGAUUGACAGUUUGAGAGCGCUUUCUUGAUUGGUUGGGUGGUGG
rnacentral:rRNA from 1 species